AGAGGGAUAGCUGGAUCAAAAGGUGGUUCCUUUCCAGUUUUCUAAGGAUUCCUCAUACUACUUUCCAGAUUGGCUGCACCAUUUUGCAGUCCCACCAGCAAU
rnacentral:pre_miRNA from 1 species